rnacentral:rRNA from 1 species
UACGGAGGGUGCAAGCGUUAUCCGGAUUUACUGGGUUUAAAGGGUGCGUCGGCGGACAGGUAAGUCCGUGGUGAAAUCUCUGAGCUUACCUCAGACACUGCCAUGGAUACUAUUUGUCUUGAAUACUGUGGAGGUAAGCGGAAUAUGUCAUGUAGCGGUGAAAUGCUUAGAUAUGACAUGGAACACCAAUUGCGAAGGCAGCUUACUACACAAAUAUUGACGCUGAGGCACGAAAGCGUGGGGAGAAAACAGG